rnacentral:tRNA from 1 species
GCGGCUGUAGCUCAGCUGGAUAGAGUGUUUGGCUACGAACCAAAAGGUCGGGGGUUCGAGUCCCUCCAGCCGUACCA